rnacentral:rRNA from 1 species
UACAGAGGGUGCAAGCGUUAAUCGGAAUUACUGGGCGUAAAGCGUGCGCAGGCGGUUCGUUGUGUCUGCUGUGAAAGCCCCGGGCUCAACCUGGGAAUGGCAGUGGAAACUGGCGAGCUGGAGUGUGGCAGAGGGGGGUGGAAUUCCGCGUGUAGCAGUGAAAUGCGUAGAGAUGCGGAGGAACACCGAUGGCGAAGGCAGCCCCCUGGGCUGACACUGACGCUCAGGCACGAAAGCGUGGGGAGCAAACAGG